CGGAGGGUGCGAGCGUUGUCCGGAAUCACUGGGCGUAAAGGGCGCGUAGGUGGCUUGGCAAGCGUGUGGUGAAAGCCCGGGGCUUAACCCCGGGUCUGCCGUGCGAACUACCAUGGCUAGAGUACUGUAGAGGCAGGUUGAAUUCCGGGUGUAGCGGUGGAAUGCGUAGAGAUCCGGAAGAAUACCGGUGGCGAAGGCGGCCUGCUGGGCAGUUACUGACACUGAGGCGCGACAGCGUGGGGAGCAAACAGGAUUAGAUACCCUGGUAGUCCACGCCGUAAACGAUGGGCACUAGAUGCUUGGGGGAGCGACCCUCUGAGUGUCGUCGCUAACGCAGUAAGUGCCCCGCCUGGGGAGUACGGCCGCAAGGCUG
rnacentral:rRNA from 1 species